CAUCUUUGACGUAGCAUCAGCAGCUACAGUUCGUCGUGCAACAAUGGAGUUGAAGUGCUGCGCCGUACUACACCACGACGUAUACAGCCCCCACUUACUACAGUACAAAGUCGGGAGUACUACACCACAACAUAUGCGGCUCCUACUUACUACUCGGAGGCCCCGAAAUACUACGCCGCAGCAAGCUAUUACGCAGAGGCGCUAAUGUAUUUACACAACAACGUACGCCACUCCAACAUACUACAUCGCAGCUGCGCCGUCUUAUUACGCUGAAGCUCCAAAAUCCUACGCUGCUCCAAGUUACUACACAGCGGUUGCCCCUUCGUACUACGUAGAACCUAGCUACUACACCACAACUUAUGCUGCCCCGCCUUACUACACCACAAAAGCGCCAGAGUACUACAUUACCACUUAUACGCCGCUCCCAGGUACUACACCGAGGCUCCAGCUGAUUACACAACAACGUACGCCACUCUCAGCUAUUACGCUGAGCGACCAAAGGAUUAUUAAUUGUAAAAAUUGUGCUGUCCAUCAAGCUUGAUGACGGGAUGGUUAGAUCUUGUUUUAUUAUUUGCUGUCCCCGUUCCAAGAUGAAUUAUUACCCUUCCAUGUAUUUAUCUAUAACUAGCCGUUGCAUACGUAUGUUGUUUCUAAAUGAGAUGUUGAAUACAGCCAUAAUGUCGUUACCGAA